CAUGUAUGUAGAUCUCUGUGUUUCACUCUCUCUUUGUGUCUUAACCUCUCUUUUGUUUGAGCACCUCCAAAUCACUUUGUCGUCUCCUCGUCAUUCCAUGUGACAGAAUACAGAAGACCAUCACACGAAGCAUCGGGGAGUACUGGUGUUCCGGUUGGUAUGGUGGCAUCGGCUCUGGGUCGCCGCCGAUGGAACCGGGGGUGCCUAAGCCAAGCCCGUCGGGCUUUCACGCCCUGGCUGGCUGAAGAGGUUUCCUUGGCUCGGCGGCUUCCCAUCCCACGCGUCUUGACUCAGUUGGAUUGUCUGGCUUCCAUGCCUCAGCCGGCUCGCCAGGCUCUCACUCUCCUGCCGGUUCGUUGGGCUCCCACGUCUGCUCCCGCUAUUCCCCCCGGUGCUGCAUCACACACUCCUUCCAUCCAUUAUGCACGCCUGCCUUCCCUCAUCACGUGCAUCAGCGAUAUUGGACUCACCUGGACUCACUCAUCUGUUUAUUUCCUCACCUAUAUUUGUCAGUUCCCUUGCUCUGUUCCCCGCUACUGUAUUGAUUGUCUUUUGUUUGUGUUACCUGUUUGCUGACGCUGUUCCUGUCUAAUUCCAUGUCCGUUCUUUAUUAAAUGUUUGACUCCC
ensembl:lncRNA